AUUGAACGCUGGCGGCAUGCUUACACAUGCAAGUCGAACGGCAACAGGUUAAGCUGACGAGUGGCGAACGGGUGAGUAAUGCAUCGGAACGUGCCCGGUCGUGGGGGAUAACACUUCGAAAGAAGUGCUAAUACCGCAUACGAUCUGAGGAUGAAAGCGGGGGACCGUAAGGCCUAGCGCGAUCGGAGCGGCCGAUGUCAGAUUAGGUAGUUGGUGGGGUAAAGGCUCACCAAGCCGACGAUCUGUAGCUGGUCUGAGAGGACGAACAGCCACACUGGGACUGAGACACGGCCCAGACUCCUACGGGAGGCAGCGGUGGGGAAUUUUGGACAAUGGGCGCAAGCCUGAUCCAGCAAUGCCGCGUGCAGGAAGAAGGCCUUCGGGUUGUAAACUGCUUUUGUACGGAGCGAAAAGGCUCUCUCUAAUACAGGGGGCUCAUGACGGUACCGUAAGAAUAAGCACCGGCUAACUACGUGCCAGCCGCCGCCGUAA
rnacentral:rRNA from 1 species